CUCUUUACUUACAUUUUCACAUUUCUAAACAUGCAUUACAGUGUUGUUGUUCAACUCAUUCAAUUAAAAACAAAACAUGUACUUUUCUAAACUUGCAUAUAUGCUAUAUUGUCUAAUUCAAGUUAAUUUGUUUAGACAUGCCUACUACUUGGUACUAAUUGCAACUCUUACGUAUAAAGGUCGAAAAAGUUUUGAAAUCUACCAAUGCAAUAUUGGAUUGAAGUCAUGAAAGAAUGUACUGAUGUAAUUGCAAGUUUUCUACCAAGCCUUCACCAUGUAAUGGAAGUUCAGAUACAGGUCCAUCAAAGAAGCAGAAUGUACAAAGGAGUUUUUCUUAGUCUUAUCUAACUUUAUGAAGGCACUGCAUGAAAGAAGAAUUGGGUUCAAUGAGCUUUAGUCUGGAGAAGGAGUUAGAUAUUACAGAGUACAAAUUUUGUCUUUAUAGUUUUAUACUUCAAUUUCAUUCAUUAUACAAUGAAAAAUUCAUUAUACAAAUUAUCAACUUAUAAAUGUAAUUUUGAGUU